UAGGAGCAUGGUUAUGUCAAG
rnacentral:misc_RNA from 1 species